rnacentral:rRNA from 1 species
UUGAUAGGCCGGGUGUGUAAGCGCAGCGAUGCGUUGAGCUAACCGGUACUAAUGAACCGUGAGGCUUAACCUUA